rnacentral:tRNA from 1 species
GGAUGUCUCAGCGGCAGAGCAGGGGACUCAUAAGCCCUGGGUCACUAGUUCAAAUCUAGUCGCCGCCA